rnacentral:rRNA from 1 species
GGGAACGUGUAAUACGGGAGUCAGACUGCGAGGGCUAAGCUUCGUGGUCGAAAGGGGAAGAGCCCCAGACCGUCAACUAAGGCCCCUAAAUCUAUGCUAAGUGGUAAAGGAAGUCGGGAGGCUCAGACAGCCAGGAGGUUGGCUUAGAAGCAGCCAUCCUUUAAAGAAAGCGUAAUAGCUCACUGGUCGAGCACCCCGGUGCCGACAAUCCAACGGGGCUUAAGCAUAGUGCCGAAGUUACGGAUGCAUCAUCUUUGGAUGAUGCGUGGUAGGAGAGCAUUCUCACAGCAGUGAAGGUCGACCGUGAGGACGGCUGGAGCGGUGAGAAGAGACUCUGCCAGCAUAAGUAGCGAUAAAACCAGGUGAGAACCCCUGGUCGCCGUAAAGUCUAAGGUUUCCUGAGAAAGGUUAAUCCGCUCAGGGUUAGUCAGUGCCUAAGGCGAGGCCGACGAGGCGUAGCGUGAGUGGACACGUAACGGUUAAUACGUUCCGUGACUAACCAAAACUCGAUAC